rnacentral:rRNA from 1 species
UACGUAGGUGGCAAGCGUUAUCCGGAAUUAUUGGGCGUAAAGGGAGCGUAGGCGGUUUAUUAAGUCUAUGGUGAAAGUUCGGGGCUCAACCCCAGUGAUGCCAUAGAAACUGGUAGACUUGAGUACAAGAGAGGUUAGUGGAAUUCCAUGUGUAGCGGUAAAAUGCGUAGAUAUAUGGAGGAACACCAGUGGCGAAGGCGGCUAACUGGCUUGUAACUGACGCUGAGGCUCGAAAGCGUGGGGAGCGAAUAGG